ACUCAACACAUCUGAAUUAAGGUAUAAAUUUGGCAUACCACAAUUUGAUUCGACGAUGGCAAGUUGGAAUCCUAAAUCCAUAGUUGUGGCUCUUUUCCUCCUCGCUAUUGUUAUCUCACCAGCGCUGCCGUGUGAGGCUGCUAGAUUGCCUCAUCGAGGGAUACUUCAAAACGAUGAUGGUCCGGUAUGCAUUGCUUGUGAAUGUUGUGCACCUCCCCCAUCACCAGACAAAUGCUGUAUUUGCUGUUUUCAGAUUCCUCCUCCUCCACCGCAGUAAGAGUAUUGCAACUGCUGCAACAUCGAUCAUGUGACACAUUUUAUAUUAUAUAAAAUUUGUGUUUGUUUACUGUAUUUCAUUCUAGCUAGUAUAAUGAUUGUAGAUGUAAAAGAGACGGUAUAAAUCUCGAUAUGUCCAUAUAUAUUAUGAGGUGCUAUGAUAUAAUAAAUUGAUCGAUGUAAUAAGCUAGUGAUUUAAUAAGAUGGAGCUGUCUGUUUAUGUA